CCUACGGGAGGCAGCAGUAGGGAAUCUUUCACAAUGGGCGAAAGCCUGAUGGAGCAACGCCGCGUGCAGGAUGAAGGCCUUCGGGUUGUACACUGCUUUUAUAAGCGAGAAAUAUGAUGGUAACUUAUGAAUAAGGAUCGGCUAACUACGUGCCAGCAGCCGCGGUCAUACGUAGGAUCCGAGCAUUAUCCGGAGUGACUGGGUGUAAAGAGUUGCGUAGGUGGCCUAAUAAGUAGCUAGUGAAAUCUGGUGGCUCAACCAUUCAGACUAUUAGCUAAACUGUUAAGCUCGAGACCGUUAGGGGUAACUGGAAUUUCUAGUGUAGGAGUGAAAUCCGUAGAUAUUAGAAGGAACACCAAUAGCGUAGGCAGGUUGCUGGGACGGUUCUGACACUAAGGCACGAAAGCGUAGGGAGCAAACGGGAUUAGAUACCCGAGUAGUC
rnacentral:rRNA from 1 species